rnacentral:rRNA from 1 species
AUUGAACGCUGGCGGCAUGCCUUACACAUGCAAGUCGAGCGGCAGCACGGGAGCAAUCCUGGUGGCGAGUGGCGAACGGGUGAGUAAUAUAUCGGAACGUGCCCAGUCGUGGGGGAUAACGCAGCGAAAGCUGUGCUAAUACCGCAUACGAUCUAAGGAUGAAAGCGGGGGAUCGCAAGACCUCGCGCGAUUGGAGCGGUCGAUAUCAGAUUAGCUAGUUGAUGGGGUAAAGGCCCACCAAGGCGACGAUCUGUAGCUGGUCUGAGAGGACGACCAGCCACACUGGAACUGAGACACGGUCCAGACUCCUACGGGAGGCAGCAGUGGGGAAUUUUGGACAAUGGGCGCAAGCCUGAUCCAGCAAUGCCGCGUGCAGGAUGAAGGCCUUCGGGUUGUAAACUGCUUUUGUACGGAACGAAACGGCCCUUUCUAAUACAGGGGGCUAAUGACGGUACCGUAAGAAUAAGCACCGGCUAACUACGUGCCAGCAGCCGCGGUAAGAC